GAGGAUAUAGAUCAGUGGUAAAGCAUAUGCUUAGCAUGCAGGAGGUCCUGGGUUCAAUCCCCUGUACCUCCA
rnacentral:tRNA from 1 species